AGGGUGUAAACGCCGCAGACUUGGUGUUGGAAGUCCUUUGGGGGCAUUCAGUGCCGGAGAGAAGUUGUUAAAGUCUGCUACUUGGGGAGUACGUCCGCAAGGAUGAAACUUAAAGGAAUUGGCGGGGGGAGCACCGCAACGGGAGGAGCGUGCGGUUUAAUUGGAUUCAACACCGUAAAACUCACCAGGGAAGACUGUUACAUGAAAGCCGAGAUGAAGACUCUGCUAGAUUUUCAGAGAGGAGGUGCAU
rnacentral:rRNA from 1 species